rnacentral:rRNA from 1 species
UACGAAGGGGGCUAGCGUUGCUCGGAAUUACUGGGCGUAAAGCGCACGUAGGCGGUUUGUCGCGUCUGCCGCGAAAGUCCGGGGCUCAACUCCGGAUCUGCGGUGGGUACGGGCAGACUAGAGUGAUGUAGGGGAGACUGGAAUUCCUGGUGUAGCGGUGAAAUGCGCAGAUAUCAGGAGGAACACCGUAGUCGGAAGGCAGGUCUCUGGGCCGAUACUGACGUGAGGAGCGAAAGCGUGGGGAGCGAACAGG